UGACAAGAAAUACCACAUGGUUGGGCCAAUUCGACACUGAGCAGUGGGAAUAGGGGAUGAUACCUUGAUCUCGGUGAGGUAGAAAAAAAGAAAUUAAAUGAAAAAUUGGGAAGAAAAUAAAGGGAAGAAGAAAACUGGCGUUCACUUGGUGCCUCGAACGCACAAUCUCCCGCUCUGGAGGCGAUCGCCUUGUCCAUUAGGACUAAAUUUAUUUUACCAGAUUCUAUCUAUGAAGAACUUCCGACCUGUUACGACCAAUGCGCCAUUUGAGCUGCUAAACCUCGAACGGGAUUAAGCAGAAGAAGAAAGGGAAGAUAAUCAACCGAAGUCUCAAUCCAUCUCAAUGGCGAUGACCAUAUCCAACUCCUUUCACUGCCGUAAGCUGCAACUCCUCCAUAAGAAUUACACUCCCGGUCCCCGCGGCUUGCUCUCCCCUUCCUUCGUCAGAUUUUGUAGGACGGUGCCACGAAGGAGUUUAGUAACCUAUUUUGCAGCAUCUGCUGCUGGGAGUUCCAAUUCAGAUGGCAACCUUAACCCGUAUGAGGUUUUGGGAAGUUAGCCCUAUUGAAGAAUUCGACGUGAUUAAGGCGGCAUAUACCAAAAAAACGUAAGGAUGCUGAGAGGAGAGGGGAUGAAGCAACUGCUUCCCAAGUAGAUUACAAUGCCUUCUUUCUCGACAUUCAACCUAGUGUUCAAAGAAUGAAGUGGUCUAUGCAUGGAUCAGCUGGAGAAGGUGUGUGACAGGGUGAUGAUGGCACAAUUGAGCAACAGGAAAAUGGGUGUCACAUUUGGCUCCUUCAAGGUUCUCCAAAUCCUCUGACCAAGAUUCUCGCACCAACAUGGCAAUAUCUGCUGCAUUUGUAGCUUGGGUCCUGAUCAAGCAAAACGCUGAAUACAAGCCACUGCAAUUCUUGGCAUUUGUUUUUGUUUAUUGGAUUUUCGAGAAGUGGAAAGCAUUUGAACCACCUGUAUCUCCCACAUUUACGGAAGAUGGUGAGGAUCCAGGUCGGGGAGUGCGAAUGGGAAAAAGACGGCUUCGUUCUCUUGCUUUAAUUUUCGGUUGCAUUGCCUUUACUUCUCUGGCUUUUACAAUUUGAUCGAGUUUGUAGGCGGUUACGUUCCGGCCUUCCUUUACAAUCACCAGGAAGAGGCCACACUAAUUGAAUAGGCAAAGCUGAUAAAGAACAUGAAAACAGUAGACUAAUUUAGCAAAAACUACUGUUAUUGAUUAAAAAAUGCCACUUAUGGUUUCUGUGUAGGCUUGAGUUCGGUUUAACUAGCAAUUUGUGAGAACCAUUUGUCGGAAAUGAUGCUCCAUGAAAAGCGUUGUGCAAGAUAAGAAUGUUGCGGUGGCUAAUUUUUAAACUAAGAGAAAUUCGGUCUAUUUGGAUUUGGUCUGUUGGGUUUUCCUUGUCCUACUCUUUUGAGAAUACGAAGGAAGUAAAUUAUGCUAGAUCUGACUUGACCAUAGACACUGAAUUGUCUUUAAUUGAACAUAUACGUUUGGGUUCUUUUAUUGCGCAGAGUUCGGUAGCAGAGUAUUAGCUUUAAUAAAAUUGAUGUGUGGGUUGCAGAAAAUUACAUAUAUAGUGCUGUGAGAACAACCAGAGAGCAAGUCAAGUUCAGGAUAUGUUCUAGUUCUUCCGACGGAUCUUUUGUUAGGAAACAACGAGGAAACAAACAAUGAAAUUAUUCAAAGCCUCUGCAGCAAAGGAAGAUUAGUGCAUGCAGCGAAGCUGGUAGAUGCCAUGGGGGCGGCAUAAACUUACUUGGUAGAUGCCAAAGUCCUGACGGUAAUGGUUAUGUCUGGUGGGGUUCCAGACGUACAAUAUGAUGACUGGUCGUCUUUGUAAGAGCGAGCGGACAGCUGAGAGCUGCCAUUGAUCUCUUCGAAGAUAUGAGCUCGAGCGGUUGCUCUCCCGCCCGUAAUCUCUUAUUACUCCAUUAUCCGCACUGCAGUAUGUUUGAUCAUGGUAAUCAUGAUCAGGCUAUUGGGUUUUGGAAGGACCAACUGCGGAAGGGCUGCGGCUGCCCGCCUUUUCUGGUCACUUACACUAUAUAUUAUCUUCUAGUUGUAUGGUAAUAUAUAAUGGAGGAACAAAUAGAUAGAUUAUUAGAAAAGUUGUCCAGAAAUUAAGGUAAU